CUACGUGCCAGCAGCCGCGGUAAUACGUAGGGUGCGAGCGUUAAUCGGAAUUACUGGGCGUAAAGCGAGCGCAGACGGUUACUUAASCAGGAUGUGAAAUCCCCAGGCUCAACCUGGGAACUGCGUUCUGAACUGGGUGACUAGAGUGUGUCAGAGGGAGGUAGAAUUCCACGUGUAGCAGUGAAAUGCGUAGAGAUGUGGAGGAAUACCGAUGGCGAAGGCAGCCUCCUGGGAUAACACUGACGUUCAUGCUCGAAAGCGUGGGUAGCAAACAGGAUUAGAUACCCUGGUAGUCCACGCCCUAAACGAUGUCAAUUAGCUGUUGGGCAACUUGAUUGCUUAGUAGCGUAGCUAACGCGUGAAAUUGACCGCCUGGGGAGUACGGUCGCAAGAUUAAAACUCAAAGGAAUUGACGGGGACCCGCACAAGCGGUGGAUGAUGUGGAUUAAUUCGAUGCAACGCGAAGAACCUUACCUGGUCUUGACAU
rnacentral:rRNA from 1 species